rnacentral:rRNA from 1 species
UUGGAGGGCAAGUCUGGUGCCAGCAGCCGCGGUAAUUCCAGCUCCAAUAGCGUAUAUUAAAGUUGUUGCAGUUAAAAAGCUCGUAGUUGAACUUCGGGACCAGUGGGUUGGUCGUGCCUCUGGUACGUACUGGCCUUACCGGUUCCUCCCUUCUGACGAACCACGAUGCCAUUAAUUUGGUGUUGUGGGGAAUCAGGACUGUUACUUUGAAAAAAUUAGAGUGUUUAAAGCAGGCUAAAGCUUGAAUAGAUUAGCAUGGAAUAACGAAAUAGGACGUUUGAUCUUAUUUUGUUGGUUUCUAAGAUCGACGUAAUGAUUAAUAGGGAUAGUUGGG